UAGGGAAUCUUCCACAAUGGACGCAAGUCUGAUGGAGCAACGCCGCGUGAGUGAAGAAGGGUUUCGGCUCGUAAAGCUCUGUUGUUAAAGAAGAACGUGGGUAAGAGUAACUGUUUACCCAGUGACGGUAUUUAACCAGAAAGCCACGGCUAACUACGUCA
rnacentral:rRNA from 1 species